UUUUAAACGUGCAGGUGAUCUGGGCGUGGUAGAUCACACCUGUAAUUCCAGCAUUUCGGGAGGCCAAGGUGGGCGGAUCACUUGAGCCCAGGAGUUCCAGACCAGCCUGGGCAACGUGGCAAAAUGCCAUCUCUACUAAAAAUACAAAAAUUAGCUGUGUGUGGUCAACAGAGCCCGGGAGGUUGAGAUUGCAGUGAGCAGUGAUCGUGCCAGUGCACUCUGGCCUGGAUGGCAGAGUGCAACCCUGCCUCAAAAAAAAAAAAAAAAGUACAGGUCAUGAGUUUUUACUAAAUGAACCACCACAGAUUAAGAAAUAGAACAUUACUAUAUUGGGGUAUAUAUGUAGAAGUGGCAUUGUUGGUUUUAGAGCUAUAUGAAUGAUAAAACUUUAGUAUUACAUAUGGCUGAACAUUUUCCCAAAGUGUUUUAUCAGGUAGCAGGGAAUAUUCCAGUUACCCCACAUCCUUGCUGAUGCUUGUCAGUUAAAAAUUAUUUUGUUAUUCUCGUAGAGGUGCAGUAAUAUAUCAAUGCGGUUUCAACUUCCAUUUUCCUGGUAUUGAGAUUGAGUAUCUUUUAUUGCCAUUUAUAUGUCCUCUUUCAUGAAGUGCCUGUUAAAUCUUUUUAUCCAGUUUUCAUUGAUAUGCUUUUCUGUUGAUUUGUAAUACUUUAUUCUGGAUAUGCAUCCUUUCUAGGAUAUAUAUGGAUUGCAUUUCUCUUUUUUCAAUCUGCAGCUUGCGUUUUCACUCUUUUAAUGAUGUUUUUUCAUGAAUGGAGAUUCUCUAAUUUUUUUUCUUUUUGAGACAAGAUCUCACUCUGUUGCCCAGGCUGGAGUGCAGUGGUACAAUCACAGCUUAGUGCAACCUCGACCUCCCAAGGCUCAGGUGAUGCUCCUGCCUCAGUCCCCAAGUAGCUGGGACCUACAGGAGACCACUACCAUGCUCAGCUGUUUUUUGUAUUUUUACUAGACAUGGGGUUUUGCCAUGUUGCAUAGCCCGAUACGGAAUUCCUGGGCUCAAGUGAUACACCUGCCUCGGCCUCCCAAAGUGUUGGGAUUAUAGGCAUGAGCUACUGCACCCGGCCAGAGUAUCUUAAUUUUAAUGAAAUAUACUUUAUCAAUCUUUUCCUUUAUGGUUACUGCUUAUUGUGUCCUGUUUAAGAAAUCAAUGCCUGGCCAGGUGCGGUGGCUCAUGCCUGUAAUCCCAGCACUGUGGGAGGCCUAGGCAGGUGGAUCACGAGGUCAGGAGUAUGAAACCAGCCUGGCCAACAUGGUGAAACCCCGUCUCUACUAAAAAUACAAAAAUUAGCUGGAUGUGGUGGCGGGCACCUGUAAUCCCAGCUACUCAGGAGGCUGAGGCAGGAGAAUUGCUUGAACCCAGGAGGCGGAGGUUGCAUUGAGCCGAGAUUACACUACUGUACUCCAGCCUGGUUGACAGAGCAAGACUCUGUCUUGUACCAAAAAAAAAAAAAAAAAAAAGAAAGAAAAAAGAAAUCAAUGCCUAGCCUAAGAAUAUGAACACACUUUUCUAUAUUAACCUUAUAGCAAUUUUAUUUUAGUUUUUGCAUUUUUUUUUUCAGACAGGGUCUUACUCUGUUGCCCAGGCUGAAGUGUGUUGGCAUAAUCUCAGCUCACUGCCACCUCCACCUCCUGGCUCAAGCAAUCCUCCUGCCUCAGCCUCCUGAGUAGCUGCGACUAUAGGCGUGUGCCACCAUGCCUGGCUAAUUUUUGUAUUUUCUGUAGAGAUGGGGAUUCAACAUGUUUCCCAGGUUGGUCUCAAACCCUUGGGCUCAAGUAGUCUGCUUGCUUCAGCCUCCCAAAGUGCUGGGAUUACGGCAUGCACCACCAUGCCCAGCUAAUUUUUUAUUUUUUGUAGACAGGGUCUUCCUAUGGUGCCCAGACUAGUUUCAAACACUUGGGCUCAGUUGAUUGUCACACCUUGGCAUCCCAAAGUGUUGGGAUUACAGGUGUGAGCCAUCACAUCUGGCCAUUUUAGUUUUAAUAAUUUUUAUAUUUUUCUAAUUUAAAACAGGUACUAAAAUUUCUUACAGCUAUUAUUUGUAAAUAUAGUAUUCAUUAUUGUUAUUAUUUUUUUUGUAUGUGUUCAAUCUCAUUUUCAAUAUAAGCUCCUGGAAAUUAGAGAUUUUGUUUCUUUUAUUCACCACUGUAUUCUCAGUACUUGACCUCACCUGGCAUGAAACAGAUAUUGAAUAAAUAUUUGUUAAAUGAAUGAAUGAAUGAACAUACUAAUA
rnacentral:lncRNA from 10 species